GACGAACGCUGGCGGCGUGCUUAACACAUGCAAGUCGAACGGAAAGGCCCUGCUUUUGUGGGGUGCUCGAGUGGCGAACGGGUGAGUAACACGUGAGUAACCUGCCCUUGACUUUGGGAUAACUUCAGGAAACUGGGGCUAAUACCGGAUAGGAGCUCCUGCUGCACGGUGGGGGUUGGAAAGUUUCGGCGGUUGGGGAUGGACUCGCGGCUUAUCAGCUUGUUGGUGGGGUAGUGGCUUACCAAGGCUUUGACGGGUAGCCGGCCUGAGAGGGUGACCGGCGACAUUGGGACUGCGGUACGGCCCAGACUGCUACGGGAGGCAGAAGUGGGGAAUAUUGCACAAUGGGCGGAAGCCUGAUGCAGAAACGCCGCGUGCGGGAUGCCGGCCUUCGGGUUGUAAACCGCUUUCGACGGUGACGAAGCGUGAGUGACGGUAAUGGGUAAAGAAGCACCGGCUAACUACGUG
rnacentral:rRNA from 1 species